CACGUAGGGCGCAAGCGUUGUCCGGAAUUAUUGGGCGUAAAGAGCUCGUAGGCGGUCUGUUGCGUCCGCUGUGAAAACCCGGGGCUUAACCCUGGGCUGGCAGUGGAUACGGACAGACUAGAGGUAGGUAGGGGAGAAUGGAAUUCCCGGUGUAGCGGUGAAAUGCGCAGAUAUCGGGAGGAACACCGGUGGCGAAGGCGGUUCUCUGGGCCGUUACCUGACGCUGAGAGC
rnacentral:rRNA from 1 species